UUUUUUUUUUUUUUGUAUUUUUAGUAGAGACGGGGUUUCACCGUGUUAGCCAGGAUGGUCUCAAUCUCCUGACCUCGUGAUCCGCCCUCCUCGGCCUCCCAAAGUACUGGGAUUACAGGAGUGAGUCACCACGCCCGGCCGGAUUAUGGAUUUUUAAGAGGAAAACCACAGAGUUCUGAAUGCUGAGAAGCUCAAGAUCAAGAUACUGGCAGUUUUGGUGUCUG
rnacentral:lncRNA from 1 species